rnacentral:rRNA from 1 species
UGGGGAAUAUUGCACAAUGGGCGCAAGCCUGAUGCAGCCAUGCCGCGUGUAUGAAGAAGGCCUUCGGGUUGUAAAGUACUUUCAGUCGGGAGGAAGGUGUCAAGGUUAAUAACCUUGGCAAUUGACGUUACCGACAGAAGAAGCACCGGCUAACUCCGUACCAGCAGCCGCGGUAAUACGGAGGGUGCAAGCGUUAAUCGGAAUUACUGGGCGUAAAGCGCACGCAGGCGGUUGAUUGAGUCAGAUGUGAAAUCCCCGGGCUUAACCCGGGAAUUGCAUCUGAUACUGGUCAGCUAGAGUCUUGUAGAGGGGGGUAGAAUUCCAUGUGUAGCGGUGAAAUGCGUAGAGAUGUGGAGGAAUACCGGUGGCGAAGGCGGCCCCCUGGACAAAGACUGACGCUCAGGUGCGAAAGCGUGGGGAGCAAACAGG